rnacentral:piRNA from 1 species
UACCUAAGCUGCUUUUAUAGCCUUGAAGG